rnacentral:rRNA from 1 species
UACGUAGGGUGCAAGCGUUGUCCGGAAUUAUUGGGCGUAAAGAGCUCGUAGGCGGUUUGUCGCGUCUGCUGUGAAAACUCGGGGCUUAACUCCGGGCCUGCAGUGGGUACGGGCAGACUAGAGUGCGGUAGGGGAGACUGGAAUUCCUGGUGUAGCGGUGAAAUGCGCAGAUAUCAGGAGGAACACCGGUGGCGAAGGCGGAUCUCUGGGCCUUACCUGACGCUGAGGAGCGAAAGCUGGGGGAGCAAACAGG